rnacentral:misc_RNA from 1 species
GAUGCAGCAGUCUCGGCCCUGGCUGCUCUAUGCAGUGAAUAUUACAUGAAGGAGCCGGGGGAGGCAGAUCCCGCAAUUCAGGAGGAGCUGAUCACGCAGUACCUGGCUGAGCUUCGGAACCCCGAGGAGAUGACUCGCUGUGGCUUCUCGUUGGCCUUGGGCGCCCUUCCAGGCUUCCUUCUGAAAGGCCGGCUCCAGCAGGUUCUCACAGGUUUAAGAGCAGUUACCCACACUUCCCCCGAGGACGUAAGUUUUGCUGAGUCCAGGAGAGACGGCUUGAAGGCCAUUGCGAGGAUUUGCCAGACUGUUGGUGUGAAAGCAGGAGCCCCAGACGAAGCUGUGUGCGGAGAGAAUGUUUCCCAGAUUUACUGUGCGCUGCUGGGCUGCAUGGACGACUACACCACGGACAGCAGAGGGGA